rnacentral:rRNA from 1 species
AUUGAACGCUGGCGGCAUGCUUUACACAUGCAAGUCGAACGGCAGCGCGGGCUUCGGCCUGGCGGCGAGUGGCGAACGGGUGAGUAAUGCAUCGGAACGUGCCCAGUAGUGGGGGAUAGCCCGGCGAAAGCCGGAUUAAUACCGCAUACGACCUGAGGGUGAAAGCGGGGGACCGAAAGGCCUCUUGCUAUUGUAGCGGCCGAGGUCGGAUUAGCUAGUUGGUGGGGUAAAGGCUUACCAAGGCGACGAUCCGUAGCUGGUCUGAGAGGACGACCAGCCACACUGGGACUGAGACACGGCCCAGACUCCUGCGGGAGGCAGCAGUGGGGAAUGUUGGACAAUGGGGGCAAACCUGAUCCAGCCAUGCCGCGUGCGGGAAGAAGGCCUUCGGGUUGUAAACCGCUUUUGUUCGGGAAGAAAUCCUCUGGGCUAAUACCCCGGGGGGAUGACGGUAACGGAAGAAUAAGCACCGGCUAACUACGUG